rnacentral:rRNA from 1 species
AUUGAACGCUGGCGGCAGGCCUAACACAUGCAAGUCGAGCGGCAGCGGGAAGUAGCUUGCUACUUUGCCGGCGAGCGGCGGACGGGUGAGUAAUGUCUGGGAAACUGCCUGAUGGAGGGGGAUAACUACUGGAAACGGUAGCUAAUACCGCGUGAUGUCGCAAGACCAAAGAGGGGGACCUUAGGGCCUCUCGCCAUCAGAUGUGCCCAGAUGGGAUUAGCUAGUAGGUGGGGUAAGAGCUCACCUAGGCGACGAUCCCUAGCUGGUCUGAGAGGAUGACCAGCCACACUGGGACUGAGACACAGCCCAGACUCCUACGGGAGGCAGCAGUGGGGAAUAUUGCACAAUGGGCGCAAGCCUGAUGCAGCCAUGCCGCGUGUGUGAAGAAGGCCUUAGGGUUGUAAACUUCUUUUAUGUGGGAAUAAAAAAGGGAACGUGUUCCCUAUUGCAUGUGCCACUAUGAAUAAGCAUCGGCUAACUCCGUGCCAGCAGCCGCGGUAA